UGGCGGCAGGCUACACAUGCAAGUCGACGCGGUAACAGGAAGAAGCUUGCUUCUUUGCUGACGAGCGGCGGACGGGUGAGUAAUGCCUGGGAAUAUGCCUUAGUGUGGGGGAUAACUAUUGGAAACGAUAGCUAAUACCGCAUAACGUCCUUGNUCUUUACGGGCAGGGACCAAAGAGGGGGACCUUCGGGCCUCUCGCGCUAAGAUUAGCCCAGGUGGGAUUAGCUAGUUGGUGGGGUAAAGGCUCACCAAGGCAACGAUCCCUAGCUGGUCUGAGAGGAUGAUCAGCCACACUGGAACUGAGACACGGUCCAGACUCCUACGGGAGGCAGCAGUGGGGAAUAUUGCACAAUGGGGGAAACCCUGAUGCUGCCAUGCCGCGUGUAUGAAGAAGGCCUUCGGGUUGUAAAGUACUUUCAGUCGUGAGGAAGGGUGUGUAGUUAAUAGCUGCGCAUUUUGACGUUAGCGACAGAAGAAGCACCGGCUAACUCCGUGCCAGCAGCCGCGGUAAUACGGAGGGUGCGAGUGUUAAUCGGAAUUACUGGGCGUAAAGCGCAUGCAGGCGGUUAGUUAAGCGAGAUGUGAAAGCCCGGGGCUCAACCUCGGAACAGCAUUUCGAACUGGCUAACUAGAGUCUUGUAGAGGGGGGUAGAAUUUCAGGUGUAGCGGUGAAAUGCGUAGAGAUCUGAAGGAAUACCGGUGGCGAAGGCGGCCCCCUGGACAAAGACUGACGCUCAGAUGCGAAAGCGUGGGGAGCAAACAGGAUUAGAUACCCUGGUAGUCCACGCCGUAAACGAUGUCUACUUGGAGGUUGUGGCCUUGAGCCGUGGCUUUCGGAGCUAACGCGUUAAGUAGACCGCCUGGGGAGUACGGUCGCAAGAUUAAAACUCAAAUGAAUUGACGGGGGCCCGCACAAGCGGUGGAGCAUGUGGUUUAAUUCGAUGCAACGCGAAAAACCUUACCUACUCUUGACAUCC
rnacentral:rRNA from 1 species